GACGAACGCUGGCGGCGUGCUUAACACAUGCAAGUCGAACGGAAAGGCCCUGCUUUUGUGGGGUGCUCGAGUGGCGAACGGGUGAGUAACACGUGAGUAACCUGCCCUUGACUUUGGGAUAACUUCAGGAAACUGGGGCUAAUACCGGAUAGGAGCUCCUGCUGCAUGGUGGGGGUUGGAAAGUUUCGGCGGUUGGGGAUGGACUCGCGGCUUAUCAGCUUGUUGGUGGGGUAGUGGCUUACCAAGGCUUUGACGGGUAGCCGGCCUGAGAGGGUGACCGGCCACAUUGGGACUGAGAUACGGCCCAGACUCCUACGGGAGGCAGCAGUGGGGAAUAUUGCACAAUGGGCGGAAGCCUGAUGCAGCAACGCCGCGUGCGGGAUGACGGCCUUCGGGUUGUAAACCGCUUUCGCCUGUGACGAAGCGUGAGUGACGGUAAUGGGUAAAGAAGCACCGGCUAACUACGUGCCAGCAGCCGCGGUGAUACGUAGGGUGCGAGCGUUGUCCGGAUUUAUUGGGCGUAAAGGGCUCGUAGGUGGUUGAUCGCGUCGGAAGUGUAAUCUUGGGGCUUAACCCUGAGCGUGCUUUCGAUACGGGUUGACUUGAGGAAGGUAGGGGAGAAUGGAAUUCCUGGUGGAGCGGUGGAAUGCGCAGAUAUCAGGAGGAACACCAGUGGCGAAGGCGGUUCUCUGGGCCUUUCCUGACGCUGAGGAGCGAAAGCGUGGGGAGCGAACAGGCUUAGAUACCCUGGUAGUCCACGCUGUAAACGGUGGGUACUAGGUGUGGGGUCCAUUCCACGGGUUCCGUGCCGUAGCUAACGCUUUAAGUACCCCGCCUGGGGAGUACGGCCGCAAGGCUAAAACUCAAAGGAAUUGACGGGGCCCCGCACAAGCGGCGGAGCAUGCGGAUUAAUUCGAUGCAACGCGUAGAACCUUACCUGGGUUUGACAUGGAUCGGGAGUGCUCAGAGAUGGGUGUGCCUCUUUUGGGGUCGGUUCACAGGUGGUGCAUGGCUGUCGUCAGCUCGUGUCGUGAGAUGUUGGGUUAAGUCCCGCAACGAGCGCAACCCUUGUUCACUGUUGCCAGCACGUUAUGGUGGGGACUCAGUGGAGACCGCCGGGGUCAACUCGGAGGAAGGUGGGGAUGACGUCAAGUCAUCAUGCCCCUUAUGUCCAGGGCUUCACGCAUGCUACAAUGGCUGGUACAGAGAGUGGCGAGCCUGUGAGGGUGAGCGAAUCUCGGAAAGCCGGUCUCAGUUCGGAUUGGGGUCUGCAACUCGACCUCAUGAAGUCGGAGUCGCUAGUAAUCGCAGAUCAGCAACGCUGCGGUGAAAAAGUUCCCGGGGCU
rnacentral:rRNA from 1 species